rnacentral:misc_RNA from 1 species
CCGAGUUUACAACUCCCAAACCCAAUGUGAACGUUACCAUUCCGUUGCUUCGGCGGGAGUGCCCCGGGCGCGGCCGAGAGGCCCAGCCCCGGACCCAGGCGCCCGCCGGAGGACCCAAACUCUUGUGUUUUACAGUGGAAUCUUCUGAGUGGCCAUAGGCAAAAAAAUGAAUCA